UACGUAGGGCGCAAGCGUUAUCCGGAAUUAUUGGGCGUAAAGAGCUCGUAGGCGGUUUGUCGCGUCUGCCGUGAAAGUCCGGGGCUCAACUCCGGAUCUGCGGUGGGUACGGGCAGACUAGAGUGAUGUAGGGGGAGACUGGAAUUCCUGGUGUAGCGGUGAAAAUGCGCAGAUAUCAGGAGGAACACCGAUGGCGAAGGCAGGUCUCUGGGCAUUAACUGACGCUGAGGAGCGAAAGCAUGGGGGAGCGAACAGG
rnacentral:rRNA from 1 species